GGUACAUCGGUGACAGGUGGUGCAUGGUUGUCGUCAGCUCGUGUCGUGAGAUGUUGGGUUAAGUCCCGCAACGAGCCGCAACCCCUAUUGUUAGUUGCCAUCAUUCAGUUGGGCACUCUAGCGAGACUGCCGGUAAUAAACCGGAGGAAGGUGGGAUGACGUCAAAUCAUCAUGCCCCUUAUGACCUGGGCUACACACGUGCUACAAUGGUUGGUACAACGAGUUGCGAGUCGGUGACGGCGAGCUAAUCUCUUAAAGCCAAUCUCAGUUCGGAUUGUAGGCUGCAACUCGCCUACAUGAAGUCGGAAUCGCUAGUAAUCGCGGAUCAGCACGCCGCGGUGAAUACGUUCCCGGGCCUU
rnacentral:rRNA from 1 species